rnacentral:rRNA from 1 species
UACGUAGGGGGCUAGCGUUAUCCGGAAUUACUGGGCGUAAAGGGUGCGUAGGUGGUUUCUUAAGUCAGAGGUGAAAGGCUACGGCUUAACCGUAGUAAGCCUUUGAAACUGGGGAACUUGAGUGCAGGAGAGGAGAGUGGAAUUCCUAGUGUAGCGGUGAAAUGCGUAGAUAUUAGGAGGAACACCAGUUGCGAAGGCGGCUCUCUGGACUGUAACUGACACUGAGGCACGAAAGCGUGGGGAGCAAACAGG